rnacentral:rRNA from 1 species
GACGAACGCUGGCGGCGUGCUUAACACAUGCAAGUCGAGCGGGUAAGGCCCUUUCGGGGGUACACGAGCGGCGAACGGGUGAGUAACACGUGGGUGACCUGCCUCUAGCUCUGGGAUAAGCCUGGGAAGCUGGGUCUAAUACCGGAUAUGACCUCGCGGUGCAUGUUGCGGGGUGGAAAGCCUUGUGCGGCUAGGGAUGGGCCCGCGGCCUAUCAGCUUGUUGGUGGGGUGANGGCCUACCAAGGCGACGACGGGUAGCCGGCCUGAGAGGGCGACCGGCCACACUGGGACUGAGACACGGCCCAGACUCCUACGGGAGGCAGCAGUGGGGAAUCUUGCGCAAUGGGCGAAAGCCUGACGCAGCGACGCCGCGU